rnacentral:lncRNA from 1 species
AUAGAUGCAGCACUCUGGACAGCAAUCCUUCCUUUUGAGAGAGGAGGGCUGAAAUGAGGAAGAGCAAUGGUCGAUGUCUUUAUUUCACAGAUGAGAUCUAGAAUCUUUGUCAAAUUCCAAGGGACCCAAUCAAAGACAACUAUCCACCUCUACUCGUGGAUAUUGUUGGAGAGACAAAGGAACAGUUAUUAGACACCUGGGGAGACCCCCUCCCGAGUCAGAAAAUGUGACUUUCCAUGGCCUGUGAUACGACACAUGUUGAGGUCCAUCUGGAAGCUGUCUACGUCAUCGGCCCCAGCAGUGCUGACUGAUAUGAAACCCUGGCCAGUCACCUUUAGAAACCAGUAUGUUUAAGUGGACAGAGGUGAGUGAAGUAGCUGGAUAAGGGUCCAGAAGAGUGUCCCUGUCUACUGUGUGCCCUCUCCACCAGCCCUUCUCACUACAGGGUAGAGGGGGAGGGGGACAAGCACAAGGAGAAGGAUGCAGGGGGAAAAUAGGGCCUU